AUUGCCCUAGUAACGGCGAGUGAAGCGGCAACAGCUCAAAUUUGAAAUCUGGCUCUUUUAGAGUCCGAGUUGUAAUUUGCAGAGGGCGCUUUGGCUUUGGCAGCGGUCCAAGUUCCUUGGAACAGGACGUCACAGAGGGUGAGAAUCCCGUACGUGGUCGCUGGCUAUUGCCGUGUAAAGCCCCUUCGACGAGUCGAGUUGUUUGGGAAUGCAGCUCUAAAUGGGAGGUACAUUUCUUCUAAAGCUAAAUAUUGGCCAGAGACCGAUAGCGCACAAGUAGAGUGAUCGAAAGAUGAAAAGCACUUUGGAAAGAGAGUCAAACAGCACGUGAAAUUGUUAAAAGGGAAGCGCUUGCAGCCAGACUUGCUUACAGUUGCUCAUCCGGGCUUUUGCCCGGUGCACUCUUCUGUAGGCAGGCCAGCAUCAGUUUGGGCGGUAGGAUAAAGGUCUCUGUCACGUACCUCCUUUCGGGGAGGCCUUAUAGGGGAGACGACAUACUACCAGCCUGGACUGAGGUCCGCGCAUCUGCUAGGAUGCUGGCGUAAUGGCUGUAAGCGGCCCGUCUUGAAACACGGACCAAGGAGUCUAACAUCUAUGCGAGUGUUUGGGUGUCAAGCCCGAGCGCGUAAUGAAAGUGAACGGAGGUGGGAACCCGCAAGGGUGCACCAUCGACCGAUCCUGAUGUCUUCGGAAGGAUUUGAGUAAGAGCAUGGCUGUUGGGACCCGAAAGAUGGUGAACUAUGCUUGAAUAGGGUGAAGCCAGAGGAAACUCUGGUGGAGGCUCGCAGCGGUUCUGACGUGCAAAUCGAUCGUCAAAUUUGGGCAUAGGGGCGAAAGACUAAUCGAACUAUCUAGUAGCUGGUUCCUGC
rnacentral:rRNA from 1 species